rnacentral:pre_miRNA from 1 species
ACAAAAAUGAUCAAUGAGUUUCUAUUGAGUUUCUAAUGCAUUCUUAUAGAGUACAUUAGAAACUCGAUAGAAACUCAUUGAUCAUUUUUGUGA